rnacentral:rRNA from 1 species
UACGGGAGGCAGCAGUGGGGAAUAUUGCACAAUGAGCGCAAGCCUGAUGCAGCCAUGCCGCGUGUAUGAAGAAGGCCUUCGGGUUGUAAAGUACUUUCAGUCGUGAGGAAGGUGUUAAGGUUAAUAACCUUAGCAAUUGACGUUAGCGACAGAAGAAGCACCGGCUAACUCCGUGCCAGCAGCCGCGGUAAUACGGAGGGUGCGAGCGUUAAUCGGAAUUACUGGGCGUAAAGGGCACGCAGGCGGUUAAUUAAGUUGGAUGUGAAAUCCCCGGGCUUAACCUGGGAAUGGCAUUCAAGACUGGUUAGCUAGAGUCUUGUAGAGGGGGUAGAAUUCCAUGUGUAGCGGUGAAAUGCGUAGAGAUGUGGAGGAAUACCGGUGGCGAAGGCGGCCCCUGGGACAAAGACUGACGCUCAUGUGCGAAAGCGUGGGGAGCAAACAGGGAUUAGGAUACC